rnacentral:rRNA from 1 species
AUGCCGGGCAACCUGACAGCGCUCCGGGAGUCGGAGAACAUGCCGCAGCCAUCGCCGCUCGUCCAGGAGUACAUUCAGCUCGCCCCGGGCGCCGUCCACCCGGAGGACUUUUCUGGGUAUCACGCCGCGCUCGAGGACUCGAUUGCUGCGCCAGCCGUGCCCGUGGUGCCCCUCGAGGACAGCAGCUGCAGCAACGACAGUGACGACGGUGACGGGCUCUACGACGAGAUGGACUUUGGCGGCGUCGAGGACGAGUAG